CGAGGAGCGCCGCCAUCUUGGGGCGGCAGGGAGCGCUGGGGUAACUGGGCGGAUCGCCGGCUGGGGUCGGCGGCCUUGCCUCCUACUUCCCUCCGCGCUUGGCACGAUGCCGCAGUACCAGACCUGGGAGGAGUUCAGCCGCGCGGCCGAGAAGCUCUACCUCGCCGACCCGAUGAAGGUACGUGUGGUUCUCAAAUAUAGGCAUGCUGAUGGGAAUUUAUGCAUUAAAGUAACAGAUGACUCAGUUUGUUUGCUGUACAGAACAGAACAAGCUCAAGAUGUGAAGAAGAUCGAGAAAUUCCACAGUCAGCUAAUGCGCCUGAUGGUGGCCAAGGAGUCCCGGGCCGUCACCUCGGCGGAAACGGACUGAACGGUGGACGUGAAGACUGUCGUGUUUAGAGAGUAAAUGUCUUGAAUUUGAGGUGUGAAGAAGACAAGAGUUUAAUAACAACAUGCACAAAACCCAUGAGUUGAUUUAGAACCAGCCACUGUGUCCAGAAAUUGGAAGACAACAGAUCGCAGCACCGAGAUGUCACAGAUGUUGAAAUUACCUGAAAAAGACAUUAAAGUAACUAUUUAAAAAGUGCUUCAACAGCCUGCACAACGCGAUGGCAGCGAACUGCCCGGAGGACAUCUAACAGAGGCCUCGGGUGGGGAUGCCUGCGGAGGCGGAGCCUUGGGAAGGCGCAGGGCAGAACUGCUCAAUCGGAGGUCGGGGCGGGGCAGAACUGCGGCCGGAGACGCGGAGGAGCGGGAGCCCAAGGACCGUAAGAUACAGAAUCAUGUUUCUGGAAAUUCUCCUCGCCUCAGUGCUGGGCUUUCUCAUCUACCGGUAUAUCUCCUGGAACAAGGAGGAAACUUUGGCACUUGAAGAUGGGUGGUGGGGGCCCGGGGCAAAGCCCACAGCCAGGGAGGACGAGAGCAUCCGCCCCUUCAAGGUGGAAACGUCAGAUGAGGAGAUCAAGGACCUACACCAGAGGAUCGAUAACUUCCGCUGGACCGCACCUCUGGAGGACAGUCGCUUCCAUUACGGGUUCAACUCCAACUACCUGAAGAAAGUCCUGUCCUACUGGCGGAAUGAGUUUGACUGGAGGAAGCAGGUGGAGAUUCUCAACAAGUACCCUCACUUCAAGACAAAGAUCGAAGGUAAGCUUCCAGAACACCUGGGGCUGUGAGUCCCAGGAGCAGACACCUCUGUGGGAACCUUGACCCAAUGGCAGGUCACCUGAUGUAAUCAGCUUUCAUCUUGCCAGAAUGCAAAAAUAAUGCCACAUGUCAACAACCAUGGGUGUAUAGAACUAGACAGGAAGUACAUUAAUAAUUUUAAGGCCUGAGAAAUGCAGAAUCCAGUCCAAUGAGGAAGCUGCCGUGGGGGAGGCUAAGGAGGAAGACGAGGGCAUGGAUGCCUGGUCACCUCUGCCCC